rnacentral:rRNA from 1 species
UGGGGAAUCUUGCGCAAUGGGCGAAAGCCUGACGCAGCAACGCCGCGUGGAGGAAGAAGGCCUUCGGGUUGUAAACUCCUGUCAGGGGGGAAGAAGGCACCUGGGUUAAUAGCCAAGGGCUGACGGUACCCCCAGAGGAAGCCACGGCUAACUACGUGCCAGCAGCCGCGGUAAUACGUAGGUGGCGGGCGUUGUCCGGAAUUAUUGGGCGUAAAGCGCGCGUAGGCGGCUUGUCAGGUCCGACGUGAAAUCCCGGGGCUCAAACCCGGACGUGCGUCGGAAACCGGCUUGCUUGAGUCUGGGAGAGGGAAGUGGAAUUCCUGGUGUAGCGGUGAAAUGCGCAGAUAUCAGGAGGAACACCGGUAGCGAAGGCUGCUUCCUGGAACAGUACUGACGCUGAGGCGCGAAAGCUAGGGGAGCGAACAG